rnacentral:rRNA from 1 species
GACGAACGCUGGCGGCGUGCUUAACACAUGCAAGUCGAACGGAAAGGCCCUGCUUGCAGGGUACUCGAGUGGCGAACGGGUGAGUAACACGUGGGUGAUCUGCCCUGCACUUCGGGAUAAGCCUGGGAAACUGGGUCUAAUACCGGAUAGGAGCCAUUUUUAGUGUGAUGGUUGGAAAGUUUUUUCGGUGUAGGAUGAGCUCGCGGCCUAUCAGCUUGUUGGUGGGGUAAUGGCCUACCAAGGCGGCGACGGGUAGCCGGCCUGAGAGGGUGGACGGCCACAUUGGGACUGAGAUACGGCCCAGACUCCUACGGGAGGCAGCAGGGGGGAAUAUUGCACAAUGGGCGCAAGCCGGAUGCAGCGACGCCGCGGGGGGGAGGACGGCCUUCGGGUUGUAAACGCCUUUCGCUAGGGACGAAGCUUUUUGUGACGGUACCUAGAUAAGAAGCACCGGCUAACUACGUG